UUGGCCGCUCAGUACACACGAAGCGGGCUGUCAGGAUUGUUUAUUUUUAAAAAAUUUACUUAAUUUGUUUCUGUUUUUAGUUAGGUAUUUAAAAUUGCGCAAACUAAGAUUAACUAUAUAGAGAGGUUACGGCUGCGCUGAAUUCUAGGGGCAAUAGCAUUAGCAAACACUGGAGACCCCCAGAAUUCUGGGGGGUAAUAGCAUUUUAGGUCGCUAGAGGCCCCCAGAAUUCUGGCGGGUAAUAGGUGUGACCUACUAUUAUACCAUGGCCAUAGAAUCGCGACGUAGAAGAAGAGAAUCUAUUAGAUUGUUUAAUGGCGUAGGUUUUCGUAGUUUUCGACGCGAUGUGUGUUAAUUGGUGGAGAAACAUUGUCAUAAUCGGAUAUCGGAACGGAUUUCCAUAAUGUGCACGUGUUGUAACCGACCAGCACAAAAUUGAUACAUUUUUUUUCAUUUAUCACAAAUUGGUUUAUAUCAGCAGCAUUUCCACUCUAUAGCAGCAGAAGCCAAGCUGUUCAGUCAAUGGAAGACCAUAGUAAUUGCAGUUAAUGAGAUACAACAACUUUGUUGCCAAUAACAACAUGCUGCAUUUAUUUUUGUCCACAGCCAAAAUAAAUUGCAACUUCUUUCACAGGAGUAACACAUUGUGUGGUUUAAGUUGUUAGCUACCAUAGUCUCCUGAUAGUUUGAGUCUGACAAUAAGCAAUACCAUAUUGUUAUUUGUUUCUUCCCUUUGCAGAGAUGUUAGCUUGUUGUGAUUUUAGACCACAGUAUAGACUGAGCCUUUGUAUCUGUGUCAAACCAGUUACAUCAACUCACUUGUUGUUGACACCCCUGGAGAUAUUACCAAACUUUCGAAAUGGUUGAAGCAGGCACCCAUAAUAUGUCGAUUCAAUUUCAGUGCUAUCACUGUAAGGAUGGUAACCUGUUAUUAAGUUACACCAACUGUUUCAUUUGGCCAUAGGAUAGAUAGACCAAAAGAGUGAUACUCUUUAAUGUUUGCAGUGUGUUUGUCACAUUCAAUGAAUCCAUAUCUUCUCGUGAAUUGAUGGACUGAAUAAUGUCAGAUUGCCAAAAAAAACAAACACUGGAACCCUUCUGCAUGACUUUGAACCACAAGAUAUUGAUCUUUUUUACAUUCGCCUUUUGGGUUGAACGGUAAAGAGUUUCACGGUUCACUGUUUUAUCCGAAAAUCGUAUAUCCACGAAAUGUUGGCAUCAUUGGUCUAUGAACAGAUAUGAUGAUGACUGAAAUCAAUUGGAUCAGCUGAAAACAUAUGUUGAGACAUCUAUGCAACUUUGUACUUGGAUAUGUGUCAUUCCACUGGUAGUGGCUAAAUAAUCAAACUUGGAAUCGCGUGUCUUCAACCAACUCACCUCAUCUAGGCCUGACCAGUAUCGGCCCGAAGAAAGUAGUCAUCUAGUCACACGUCAGAUAACAAAUCCUGCUAAGUAAACCAUAUGAUAAGGAAGUGAACAUCAAUCAUUCGAACGUGAGUCUAAUGGUCUAAUGAAAAAUAAGGAUUCAUUCGGUUACCGACUUGACCUGCACGAGGAUUUUAGCCAUAUCGGAUAUCGGAAAGGAACACCUUUACCGAACAUAAUGUUCUUCUAACGUAAAUUAUUGGAUGUUCAUUCUAUGUCGGAUUUAGAUUUUAUUUAGAAAUCCUGGCAGAAGCUUUUCAUUUAUAAGACCAUAGAAGGAUUGCACACACUAAUGUUUUAAAGUUAAUAAACGUAAAAAAUGGAAAAUGGGGUUUCAGAAUGAGGCGGGAGUUUUUGUCAAUGCUGAAGUUUGGAAACACGAUCGGAUAUACCCAUGAAAUGAAAAACAUUCUCUCACGUUAUGGUAUUUGUCGUACAUAAAUUGAAGUGCAUAUCUGGGCUCCCUUCUUUUCUGUGGCCCCGUUUCCCCUUGACUCGUAAUAAGCCCGUAGGGGGUCACGCCCCUACUGUACGGUAUAUAUAAAAACAACAUAUAUCGAGGU
rnacentral:lncRNA from 1 species